UUUCUAUCAUGGAAAAAACAGCGCGAACACAAGGACGAAGAAAAAGGGGCACACACACCACACCACGGAGCGCUGUGUGUGCCCCUUUUUCUUCGUCCUUGUGUUCGCGCUGUUUUUUCCAUGAUGCUUG
rnacentral:pre_miRNA from 1 species